rnacentral:tRNA from 1 species
AAUAAAGUGCCUGAAAAAGGAUUAUUUUGAUAGAAUAAAUCAUGUAAUUAAAAUUACCUUUAUUA